GUGGGGAAUAUUGGGCAAUGGGGGAAACCCUGACCCAGCGACGCCGCGUGAGGGAAGAAGGCCUUAGGGUCGUAAACCUCUGUUGUGUGGGAAGAAGAGCGUGACGGUACCACACGAGGAAGUCCCGGCUAACUACGUGCCAGCAGCCGCGGUAAUACGUAGGGGACGAGCGUUGUCCGGAUUUACUGGGCGUAAAGGGCGCGUAGGCGGUCAUUUAAGUCAGCUGUGAAAUGGUUUGGCUUAACCGGAUCAUGCGGUUGAAACUGGAUGACUGGAGUGCUGGAGAGGCAAGUGGAAUUCCCAGUGUAGCGGUGAAAUGCGUAGAUAUUAGGAAGAACACCAGUGGCGAAGGCGACUUUCUGGACGAAAACUGACGCUGAGGCGCGAAAGCCAGGGGAGCGAACGGGAUUAGAAACCCGAGUAGUCC
rnacentral:rRNA from 1 species